AACAAGGCUGUUCCCUUGCCCUCACAUGUACAUAGUUCCAUCUGUAAUAAUGUUGUUACAACAGACAUGAAUUACAUUUGGCGUUUAAGACUUGCCCAUACUUCAUUUACAAAUAUGAGACAUAUUCUGGUUUGUCUUUUCCAUUUGCUUCUAAACAACCUUUCCUCUAUUUGUCUGUCCUAUGGCAAGACAGACUAGGCUCCCCUUUCCUGAUAGUUCUAUUAACACCUCUAG
rnacentral:lncRNA from 1 species